ACUGGGACAGUUUGGCAAAAGAUGUGCUUACUUACUAAGGUAGAAGUAUGGAUUUCAGAUCUCUAUUUGAAAUCUCAAAUGCUUUAUUUGUCAAGUUAUAGUGGAGAUUUAGGACAUUUGGAACCAUAUGGUCUACUUUUAUGUGAAAUAAAUACUAUAAGAAGAAACUCCCUACUAUGAUUUCAUGGAAAGAGGGUUCACAAUUAUGGAAGAAAAUGCUGGAAGCUAGGGAUGAGGUAGAGCAUAGUAUCUGGUGGGAACCAAAAAAUGGUUCAACUAGUUUUUGGUAUGAUAAUUGGUCUAAGUUGGGUCCUUUGUACCAACUUGCGUCAAUUGAUAUGUGUUUAACUUUGCAGAGGUAAAUUAUUUUUUUCAGAAUGACAGGUGGAAUGAAGAUUUUCUUAAUCAACAAUUAUCAAGUUAUUUUUGUAAAUCACAUUCUUGCGGAAUAUCCUAGAAGAUUGCAAACAGAGAAGAGGGACAAACCUUGGUGGUUGCUUACUACUAAUUGGAACUUUUGAGUAAAAAGUUUUUCGGAUUUUGAUGUGUCAUGGUUUCAUGACACCUUCGAUGCUCAAAAUAAAGAAAUUAUGAAGGAACUUAGGUACUUUUACUGGGUAUGAUAUGUUUUUGUAUUGAUUGUGCAGGAAAAUAGGUUUCAAAGGAAAAACUCAGAAAAGGAUGAAAAAUUUGCUAAGUGAAGAGAAGUUGGUGACUUAUGAGUGUGGUCUACGAAUCAUUAAUUAGAUCCACGACUUAUGAUUGGGGUUCGUGAGUUGACUUCUGAAGCUGAAGGAAAAGUCUGAUUUCUACAAAUUCAUGAGUCGUGACUUCAAACCACGACCCGUGGGUGGCAGUCAUGUCAUAUACUGAAGACUGAUACUGAGCCUGAUUUUCAUGAUAAAGACCUAUGACUUAUGGGUCUGAUCCACAACUCCACCCAUGACUCGUAGCAUGUCCCGACUUAGUUUUCUUACAUAGUUUAUGAUAAGAUUCAUUUUGUAUCUAUAAAUACUCUCAUUGUAUUUUACGAUUAGUUUACACACUUUUACAUUAUUUUGAGUUUCUUAGACACAUUAUUGAUCUUGGGACUAUUUGAUAUUGGUUUUUAGGAUUUUUGAUCUAUUUGAGAUUUGAUUUUUUAUCUUAUUCUUGUAAGUGCAAAAUUAUGCUUUCAUCUAUGAACUCCUCUUGCGUGCUUAUGAUCAUGAGUAGCUAAACUCCAUCACUAGAUUGUGGC
rnacentral:lncRNA from 1 species